UAGGGAAUCUUCGGCAAUGGGGGGAACCCUGACCGACCAACGCCGCGUGAGGGAAGAAGGUUUUCGGAUCGUAAAGCUCUGUUGUUAAGGAAGAAAGAGUGUGAGAAUGGAAAGUUAAUGCCGUGACGGUACUUAACCAGAAAGGGACGCCAAACUACGUGCCAGAAGCCUCGGUAAUACGAAGGUGGCAAGCGUUGUCCGAAUUUAUUGGGCGUAAAGCGAGCGCAGGCGGUCAAUUAAGCCUGGUGUGAAAGCCCCCGGCUCAACCGGGGAGGGUCAUUGGAAACUGGUUGACUUGAGUGCAGAAGAGGAGAGUGGAAUUCCGUGUGUAGCGGUGAAAUGCAUAGAUAUAUGGAGGAACACCAGUGGCGAAGGCGACUCUCUGGUCUGUAACUGACGCUGAGGCUCGAAAGCGUGGGUAGCAAACAGG
rnacentral:rRNA from 1 species